rnacentral:rRNA from 1 species
UACGUAGGGUGCGAGCGUUAAUCGGAAUUACUGGGCGUAAAGCGUGCGCAGGCGGUUUUGUAAGGCAGAUGUGAAAGCCCCGGGCUCAACCUGGGAAUGGCAUUUGGGACUGCAAGGCUGGAGUUUGGCAGAGGAGACUGGAAUUCCUGGUGUAGCAGUGAAAUGCGUAGAUAUCAGGAGGAAUACCGAUGGCGAAGGCAGGUCUCUGGGCUAUAACUGACGCUCAUGCACGAAAGCGUAGGGAGCAAACAGG